rnacentral:lncRNA from 1 species
CAGAAGAUUCUUGGAUUGGGAAGAGGAAAUUCCAUCUGGGAACGACAAAUUUGGGGUGGGAGGAAUUUAUUUCCAACAGAACCAGAGCAGGAGAAAAAGAGCCCAAAAUCCAACUUUGCCCUCCCCCAAUUCCCGGCAUUCCCUCGGUCCCUCCGGAGUUUUCCGUGAUUUCUCAACUUUGGGAAGAGUUUUCCGUGGAUUUCUUGGUCAUGGGAAAGAAUUUUCCAUGGAUUUCUUGGUCAUGGGAAGAGUUUUCCAAGGAUUUCUCAGCUAUGGGAAUUUUCCUUGGAUUUCUUGGCCAUGGGAGUUUUCCAUGGAUUUCUUGGCUAUGGGAAGAGUUUUCCAUGGAUUUCUCCAAGGUGAAUCCAUCCCACAAUGAGUUUUCCAUGGAUUUCUCAGCUACGGAAUUUUCCAUGGAUUUCUUGGCCAUGGGAGAGUUUUCCAUGGAUUUCUUGGCUAUGGGAAAGAAUUUUCCAUGGAUUUCUCAGCUAUGGGAAGAGUUUUCCAUGGAUUUCUCCAAGGUGAAUCCAUCCCACAGUGAGUUUUCCAUGGAUUUCUCAACUUUGGGAAGAGUUUUCCAUGGAUUUCUUGGUUAU